GGCCCCAUAGUUUAAUGGCUAGAACACCGGCUUUUCAGGCCGGGGAUCCGGGUUCGAUUCCCGGUGGGGCUG
rnacentral:tRNA from 1 species